rnacentral:rRNA from 1 species
AUUCCAGCUCCAAUAGCGUAUAUUAAAGUUGUUGUGGUUAAAAAGCUCGUAGUUGGAUCUCGGCGGACUGAGGGCGGUUUGCUUGCUAGUAUUACUGCCCUAUAGUCCGUAGUUUUGCCAGAGGUUUCGGGGUGCUCUUAAUCGAGUGUCCCGGGAUGCUGGCAGGUUUACUUUGAAAAAAUUAGAGUGCUCAAAGCAGGCUAUUACGCCUGAAUAUUCGUGCAUGGAAUAAUAGAAUAGGAAGUCGUUUCUAUUUUGUUGGUUUUCGGAAAUCGACUUAAUGAUUAAUAGGGACAGUCGGGGGCAUUUGUAUUCAAACGACAGAGGUGAAAUUCUUGGACCGUUUGAAGACAAACUACUGCGAAAGCAUUUGCCAAGAAUGUUUUCAUUA